rnacentral:rRNA from 1 species
CCUACGGGAGGCAGCAGUGAGGAAUAUUGGUCAAUGGGCGGGAGCCUGAACCAGCCAAGUCGCGUGAGGGAAGACGGUCCUACGGAUUGUAAACCUCUUUUGCCGGGGAGCAACGGGGUCCUUGCGAGGGCCCGAUGAGAGUACCCGGAGAAAAAGCAUCGGCUAACUCCGUGCCAGCAGCCGCGGUAAUACGGAGGGUGCAAGCGUUACUCGGAAUCACUGGGCGUAAAGAGCGCGUAGGCGGGAUAGCACGUCAGAUGUGAAAUCCCGAGGCUCAACUUCGGAAUUGCCUCUGAUACUGUUAGGCUAGAGAGUAGUUGCGGUAGGCGGAAUGUAUGGUGUAGCGGUGAAAUGCUUAGAGAUCAUACAGAACACCGAGUGCGAAGGCAGCUUACCAAGCUACUUCUGACGUUGAGGCACGAAAGCGUGGGGAGCAAACAGGAUUAGAUACCUUUGUAGUA